UGUAUCUGCAAAAUCCCUGUUGCCAGGCAGAUUAGGUGUAAUUUAUACAUCCCACCACUACAUGGGGAUAAAAUUUAGGUUCUAUAUAUAUACCUAGGCCAGGCCUAGUUAGUUAGUUGAGACCAGAGUUGAGAGAAAGAGUUAGAAAUUA